rnacentral:misc_RNA from 1 species
GUGAAUCAUCGAAUCUUUGAACGCAAAUUGCACUCUCUUGUGAUAGUAUGCCUGUUUGAGUUUCAGCCUAAAAAAAAUCUACAUAGUUUCUUUUACGCUGUAACAUUCUUCGGAAAUUGUUUCAUCUUAAACCUUUUUGUUAAGCUGCUUAAAAUUUUCUUUACUAUUCCAAGAACGUUUCUAAGAUUUGAUCUUCUUAUGCGUUUAAGGUAUCUAUCUUUAUUAGACGUUUCCGUUGCUUCGUAUCUCGUCCAUAAAUAUUUCGUUAACUGACCUCAUAUAGGUACGAACACCCGCUGAA